ensembl:antisense Gm10863 predicted gene 10863
GAGAGAAGCCGCCUUGGAUGGACAGAGGGACGGAGCAGCAAGCAUCCGGCCUCCCCGGCUUCCCUGCAGCGGUCUCCAACUGCUGUCUGCCCGCUGCCCGCCUGCCUGGCAUCUCUCUCCCGGUGACCUUCCUGCUGCCCUUCAGGCAGAACUAUGGGCUCAGCCCCAACCUCUACCUCCCCCCCCAGGUCAGCCAGUCCAUCAGACAUCUGAGGCUGUCUCCAGGCUGGACAGGAGGCUUGGGGUGAAUUGUCUCCAUAACCGCAAGACCCUCUCCAGCUGUGCCCUCCUGUGACUGAGAGUCUGAGAGCAGAGGCAGGAAGACAAUCUAUAAGGUGCUAGCUGCAUUCCUGGCCUGGGAGCAGGGAGCCUGUCUGACCCCUGUGUCACACUG